GCCUUAUACAUGCAAGUCGAACGAAGUAGAAAUACUUAGUGGCAGACGGGUGAGUAACAUGUGGGUAUCUUCCCUUUGGUGAGGAAUAACACGAGGAAACUUGUGCUAAUACCUCAUAAGUCUUCACGGAGAAAGCUUUAUGCGCCAAUGGAUGAGCCCGCACUUGAUUAGUUUGUUGGUGGGGUAAUGGCUUACCAAGACUUUGAUCAAUAGCUGAUCUGAGAGGAUGAUCAGCCACAUUGGGACUGAGACACGGCCCAAACUCCUACGGGAGGCAGCAGUAGGGAAUAUUGCACAAUGGAGGAAACUCUGAUGCAGCGAUGCCGCGUGAGUGAAGAAGGCCUUUGGGUUGUAAAGCUCUUUCGUCGGGGAAGAAAAUGACGGUACCCGAAUAAGAAGGUCCGGCUA
rnacentral:rRNA from 1 species